AACGUAGGAGACUAGCGUUAUCCGGAUUUACUGGGCGUAAAGCGUGUGCAGGCGGUUCGGCAAGUUGGAUGUGAAAUCUCCCGGCUCAACUGGGAGGGGUCGUUCAAUACUACCGAACUUGAGGGCAUCAGAGGAAGGUGGAAUUCCGGGUGUAGUGGUGAAAUGCGUAGAUAUCCGGAGGAACACCAGUGGCGAAGGCAGCCUUCUGGGCCAACACUGACGCUCAUGCACGAAAGCGUGGGGAGCAAACAGG
rnacentral:rRNA from 1 species